rnacentral:lncRNA from 1 species
AGAACAGAACUCAUCUCCUGUGACUGCCGGUGGCUGCUUCAUUUGCUACCACAGGCUAAUUAUUUCUGGGAGAUAUUUCUGCAUCUGGAGAAGGAGUCAGUUAUUAUAAUUGAGUGCACCGCAAAACAAAAGUUGUGCUGUAAGUACAUCAAGGGCAGGGGAUCACAUCUUCUCGGUGUUUUAUCAACUUCCAUAAAUCACUUCGGGCCCGUGGCUUC